CUAGCGGUGUAAGGGUUCGAGAGGAAGAUACCCUCACAUGGUACUGAACCGGACCAAGUCCUACGAGGCAGCAGUGAGGAAUUGUCAUGUCGAGGACUGAACCAGCAGUCGCUGAGAUGCUUGCUAUGGUGUAACUUCUUUACACGAAUAAAUGAGAUACGUUAUUUAUUGCAUGUACUGGGAAUAAGCAUCGCUAACUCCGUGCAGCAGCGCGUAAUACGAGGAUGCGAGCGUAUCCGGAUUUAUUGGGUUUAAAGGGGCGUAGGUGGGCUGUAAGUCAGCGUGAAAGUUUGUCGCUUAACGAUAAAUUGCCGUUGAACUGGUAGUCUUGAGUAUAGAUGAAGUAGGCGGAAUGCGUGGUGUAGCGGUGAAAUGCAUAGAGAUCACGCAGAACUCCGAUUGCGAAGGCAGCUUACUAAGGUAUAACUGACACUGAAGCACGAAAGCGUGGGUAUCAAACAGGAUUAGAUACCCUGGUAGUCCACGCAGUAAACGAUGAUUACUAGGAGUUUGCGAUAUAGUGUAAGCUCUACAGCGAAAGCGUUAAGUAAUCCACCUGGGGAGUACGCCGGCAACGGUGAAACUCAAAGGAAUUGACGGGGGCCCGCACAAGCGGAGGAACAUGUGGUUUAAUUCGAUGAUACGCGAGGAACCUUACCCGGGAUUGAAAUGUAGACGACGGAGAGUGAGAGCUUUCUUCCCUUCGGGGCGUCUAUGUAGGUGCUGCAUGGUUGUCGUCAGCUCGUGCCGUGAGGUGUCGGCUUAAGUGCCAUAACGAGCGCAACCCUGACUGUCAGUUGCUAACAGGUAAAGCUGAGGACUCUGGCGGGACUGCCGGCGUAAGCUGUGAGGAAGGUUGGGAUGACGUCAAAUCAGCACGGCCCUUACAUCCGGGGCGACACACGUGUUACAAUGGCAGGGACAAAGGGCAGCUACCGGGCGACCGGAUGCCAAUCUCCAAACCCUGUCUCAGUUCGGAUCGGAGUCUGCAACUCGACUCCGUGAAGCUGGAUUCGCUAGUAAUCGCGCAUCAGCCAUGGCGCGGUGAAUACGUUCCCGGGCCUUGUACACACCGCCCGUCAAGCCAUGGGAGCCGGGGGUACCUAAAGUCCGUAACCGCGAGGAUCGGCCUAGGGUAAAACUGGUGACUGGGGCUAAGUCGUAACAAGGUAGCCGUACCGGAAGGUGCGGCUGGAUCACCUCCUUC
rnacentral:rRNA from 1 species